GUCUUUGUUGCUCUGUGGGCUAAGCUUUGGAGUUCUAUUCUAGAGUUCCCAGGUUCAAUUCCUGACAAGGAAG